rnacentral:rRNA from 1 species
UACGUAGGUGGCAAGCGUUGUUCGGAUUCAUUGGGCGUAAAGGGUGCGUAGGCGGCGCGGUAAGUCGGGUGUGAAAUCUCGGAGCUUAACUCCGAAACUGCAUUCGAUACUGCCGUGCUUGAGGACUGGAGAGGAGACUGGAAUUUACGGUGUAGCGGUGAAAUGCGUAGAUAUCGUAAGGAGGACCAGUGGCGAAGGCGGGUCUCUGGACAGUUCCUGACGCUGAGGCACGAAGGCCAGGGGAGCAAACGGG